GCGACACUAGCUCAGUUGGUAGAGCGCAACCUUGCCAAGGUUGAGGUCACGCCUUUUUGUUUUA
rnacentral:tRNA from 5 species